rnacentral:pre_miRNA from 1 species
CUCCCUUCGUCCCAAAAUAAGUACAGUCUUGGUUUUCCGCGUUCAAUUUUAACCAUUCGUCUUAUUUAAAAAUUUUUUGAAAAGAAAAACAUAAGUCAAGAGUAAAGUACUAUUCAUGUUUUAUCAUCUCAUAACAACAAAAAUGCUAAUUAUAAAAAAAUUUCAAAUAAGACAGACGAUUAAAGUUGGACGUGGAAUCUCAUGGCUGCACUUAUUUUGGGACGGAGGUA